UACAGAGGUCUCAAGCGUUGUUCGGAUUCAUUGGGCGUAAAGGGUGCGUAGGUGGCGCGGUAAGUCGGGUGUGAAAUUUCGGAGCUUAACUCCGAAACUGCAUUCGAUACUGCCUGGUGCUUGAGGACUGGAGAGGAGACUGGAAUUUACGGUGUAGCAGUGAAAUGCGUAGAGAUCGUAAGGAAGACCAGUGGCGAAGGCGGGUCUCUGGACAGUUCCUGACACUGAGGCAACGAAGGCCCAGGGGAGCAAACGGG
rnacentral:rRNA from 1 species